rnacentral:rRNA from 1 species
UACGGAGGGUGCAAGCGUUAUCCGGAAUCACUGGGUUUAAAGGGUGCGUAGGCGGUUUGUUAAGUCAGUUGUGAAAUUCCCCGGCUUAACCGGAGGGACUGCGAUUGAUACUGAUAAACUUGAAUCAGGUUGAGGUAGGCGGAAUGUGGCAUGUAGCGGUGAAAUGCUUAGAUAUGCCAUAGAACACCGAUUGCGAAGGCAGCUUGCUGGACCUGUAUUGACGCUGAGGCACGAAAGCGUGGGGA